CCCUGGCUCAGGACGAACGCUGGCGGCGUGCCUAAUACAUGCAAGUCGAGCGGAAAUGAUGAGAAGCUUGCUUCUCUGAUUUUUAGCGGCGGACGGGUGAGUAACACGUGGGUAACCUGCCUGUAAGACUGGGAUAACAUUCGGAAACGGAUGCUAAUACCGGAUACGCAAUUUGAUCGCAUGAUCGAAUUGGGAAAGAUGGAGUAAUCUAUCGCUUAUAGAUGGACCCGCGGCGCAUUAGCUAGUUGGUGAGGUAACGGCUCACCAAGGCGACGAUGCGUAGCCGACCUGAGAGGGUGAUCGGCCACACUGGGACUGAGACACGGCCCAGACUCCUACGGGAGGCAGCAGUAGGGAAUCUUCCGCAAUGGACGAAAGUCUGACGGAGCAACGCCGCGUGAGUGAUGAAGGUUUUCGGAUCGUAAAGCUCUGUUGCCAGGGAAGAACACUUGGGAGAGUAACUGCUCUCAAGCUGACGGUACCUGAGAAGAAAGCCCCGGC
rnacentral:rRNA from 1 species